GCCCUUAGAUGUUCUGGGCCGCACGCGCGCUACACUGAUCAAGUCAGCGAGUCUACAACCUUGGCCGGAAGGUCUGGGUAAUCUUUUGAAACUUGAUCGUGCUGGGGAUAGUCCAUUGCAAUUAUUGGACUUCAACGAGGAAUUCCUAGUAAGCGUGAGUCAUCAGCUCGCGUUGAUUACGUCCCUGCCCUUUGUACACACCGCCCGUCGCUACUACCGAUUGAAUGGCUUAGUGAGGCUUUCGGAUUGGAUUCUCGCAGCUGGCAACAGCAGCAAGGAACUGAAAAGUCAUCCAAACUUGGUCAUUUAGAGGAAGUAAAAGUCGUAACAAGGUUUCCGUAGGUGAACCUGCGGAAGGAUCAUUCACAAUAAGUGUUUAUGGCACUUUCAAAUCCAUACCCACCUUGUGUGCAAUGUAUAAGAGUCCUUUCCAACUUGGAUUGGACUUGAUUUUUCUCUCACACGUCUUCAAUUGCAAGUCUAAGCUUUCAGAGUGAUCAAAAAACUCGAAUACAACUUUCAACAACGGAUCUCUUGGCUCUCGCAUCGAUGAAGAACGCAGCGAAAUGCGAUACGUAAUGAGAAUUGCAGAAUUCAGUGAAUCAUCGAAUCUUUGAACGCACAUUGCGCCUUCUGGUAUUCCGGAAGGCAUGCUUGUUUGAGUAUCAGUAACAACCUCAGCCAAGUUUUUUGUCGCCUUUGGCGCGGAAAGCAACAGCUGGAUUUGAGCAAAAUCCCUUGGGAUUUCAAUUCGACGACCUUCGGGGAGCAAUUGAGCCGUGAGGGAUGCUUGAAAUACAGGUUCGGGCUGACCAAAUGUCCUGGGCUACAAGCAUUUCAUACUUGAUCCCGUUAAACGGAUCAUUUCCAUUGCUGCAGCCAUCACAAACAGGAUCAAACGUGUCCAGUGUUUCUGACUGAUGCAGGAAGUUGGAGCCAACACAGAGCGAUCUGUGGUCGGUUCUUUCUAACUCGAUCUCAAAUCGAGUAAGACUACCCGCUGAACUUAAGCAUAUCAAUAAGCGGAGGAAAAGAAACUAACAAGGAUUCCCCUAGUAACGGCGAGUGAAGCGGGAUGAGCUCAAAUUUGAAAUCUGGCUGGCUUCGUCAGUCCGAGUUGUAGUUUAAAGAGGCGUUUUCGGUGGCAGCCUGGGUACAAAUCCUUUGGAACAGGGUAUCAUAGAGGGUGAGAAUCCCGUCUCUGACUCGGUGUCCUGCUACUAUGUGAUACGUCUUCAAAGAGUCGAGUUGUUUGGGAAUGCAGCUCAAAAUGGGUGGUAAAUCUCAUCUAAGGCUAAAUACCGGCGAGAGACCGAUAGCGAACAAGUACCGUGAGGGAAAGAUGAAAAGAACUUUGAAAAGAGAGUUAAACAGUGCGUGAAAUUGUUGAAAGGGAAACGUUUGACACCAGCUUUGCGGGUGGGAAAUCAGUCGCGUUGCAGUGGAGAGUGGCAAGGGUUCAGACCGCAAGGCUGGCCUUUGUCUCAUCUUUGUUGCGGGCGAUGCACUUUUUCAUCUGCAGGUCAACAUCAGUUUCCUCCGCUGGACAAAACCUCGAGAGAAUGUAGCAGCUCUGGCUGUGUUAUAGCUCUGGGGCGAUACAGUGGUGGGGACUGAGGUUUCGCAGUGUGUGCUCUCGGGCAAGGCUGACUGGGUGCUACGGAAUGGUUCGGUGUACAAUGCUUGCAUUUUGCGCCGAGUCUGUUCUGUACUCGCUCAACUCGGUUCUUCCACGCUUAGG
rnacentral:rRNA from 1 species